rnacentral:lncRNA from 1 species
CCGUGCCUGGCCAAUACCUAUAUUCUUUACCUUAACUUCAAAGACAACAUUAGCUGGUGAAGUCAACUUUGAGACAAAAAAAAAAAAAGCUAGUCACACAAUUUAAAUACACAUCUGUGACAAACAUCAACUGAUUUAAUAAUUUUUAUCACUGGAUGCCAGUGCUUAGUAGAAGGACUCUUCUUACCACCUAAGUGGCAAUACUUUUAAUAUGAUUAUACUUUUUUAUUUUUAUUUUUUCAGACGGAGUUCCACUCUCAUUGCCCAGACUGGAGUGUAAUGGUGUGAUCUUGGCUCACUGCAACCUCCAUCUCCCCGGUUCAGGCGAUUCUCCUGCCUCGGCCACCCGAAUAGCUGGGAUUACAGGUGCCUGCCACCACGCCUGGCUCAUUUUUGUACAUUUAGUAGAGAUGGGGUUUCACCAUGUUCACCAGGCUGGUCUUGAACUCCUGAUCUCAGGUGAUCUGCCCACCUCGGCCUCCCAAAGUGCUGGGAUUACAGGUGUGAGCCACCAUGCCCAGCCUAAUAUUAUACUCUCGAUAACAAUUUUGCUGCAAGAGCAUAAUUAUGAUCGAAUAUUUCCUUUGCAAAUCUAUUUCUCUGAAGUGUGGUAUUAUUAAUUUUGAUUCUUGCCUUUUUAAAAAAGAAACUAAAGACUAUUCUCUCCAUUUCUAUAUUAUUUAUUAGAUUUUUACAUUUUACAUGUUUUUUCAUUUUUCUUGGGGGUAAAUGAA